ensembl:lncRNA
GUCGAGGGGGACAGAAAAAGGGAGGGAGAGGAGAGGAUCAGGUCGAGAGGGACAGAAGAAAGGGAGGGAGAGGAACAGGUUGAGGGGGACAGAAGAAAGGAGGAAGAGGAACAGGUCAAGGGGGACAGAAGAAAGGGAGGGAGAGGAACAGGUCGAGGGGGACAGAAGAAAGGAGGAAGAGGAACAGGUCGAGGGGGACAGAAGAAAGGGAGGGGGACAGAGGGAGAGGGAACAGGUCGAGAGGGACAGAAGAAAGGGAAGGAGGGAGAGGAACAGGUCGAGGGGGACAGAAGAAAGGGAGGGAGAGGAGAGGAACAGGUCGAGGGGGACAGAAGAAAGGGAGGAGAGGAGAGGAACAGGUGGAGGGGGACAGAAGAAAGGGAGGGAGAAGAACAGGUCGAGGGGGACAGAAGAAAGGGAGGGAGAGGAACAGGUCGAGGGGGACAGAAGAAAGGGAGGGAGAGGAGAGGAUCAGGUCGAGGGGGACAGAAGAAAGGGAGGGAGAGGAGAGGAACAGGUCCAGGGGGACAGAAGGAAGGAAGGAAGGGAGAGGAGAGGAACAGGUCGAGGGGGACAGAAGAAAGGGAGAGAGAGGAGAGGAUCAGGUCGAGAGGGACAGAAGAAAGGGAGGGAGAGGAACAGGUUGAGGGGGACAGAAGAAAGGGAGGAAGAGGAACAGGUCAAGGGGGACAGAAGAAAGGGAGGGAGAGGAACAGGUCGAGGGGGACAUUAGAAAGGGGG